rnacentral:rRNA from 1 species
UAGGGAAUCUUCCGCAAUGGGCGAAAGCCUGACGGAGCAACGCCGCGUGAGUGAUGAAGGUCUUCGGAUCGUAAAACUCUGUUAUUAGGGAAGAACAAAUGUGUAAGUAACUAUGCACGUCUUGACGGUACCUAAUCAGAAAGCCACGGCUAACUACGUGCCAGCAGCCGCGGUAAUACGUAGGUGGCAAGCGUUAUCCGGAAUUAUUGGGCGUAAAGCGCGCGUAGGCGGUUUUUUAAGUCUGAUGUGAAAGCCCACGGCUCAACCGUGGAGGGUCAUUGGAAACUUGAAAACUUGAGUGCAGAAGAGGAAAGUGGAAUUCCAUGGGUAGCGGUGAAAUGCGCAGAGAUAUGGAGGAACACCAGUGGCGAAGGCGACUUUCUGGUCUGUAACUGACGCUGAUGUGCGAAAGCGUGGGGAUCAAACAGG